rnacentral:rRNA from 1 species
GAUGAACGCUGGCGGCGUGCCUAAUACAUGCAAGUCGAGCGGACGGACGAUGAGCUUGCUUCUCUGAUGUUAGCGGCGGACGGGUGGGUAACACGUGGAUAACCUCCCUAUAAUACUGGGAUAACUUCGGGAAACCGGAGCUAAUACCGGAUUAUAUUUUGAACCGCAUGUUUCAAAAGCGAAAGACGGUCUUGCUGUCACUUAUAGAUGGUUCCGCGCUGCAUUAGUUAGUUGGUAAGGUAACGGCUUACCAAGGCAACGAUGCAUAGCCGACCUGAGAGGGUGAUCGGCCACACUAGAACUGAGACACGGUCCAGACUCCGAAGGGAGGCAGCAGUAGGGAAUCUACCGCAAUGAGCGAAAGCCUGACGGAGGAACGCCGCGUGAGUGAGGAAGGUCUUCGGAUCGUAAAACUCUGUUAUUAGGGAAGAACAUAUGUGUAAGUAACUGUGCACAUCUUGACGGUACCUAAUCAGAAAGCCACGGCUAACUACGUG